GUGCGCCUUUGAAAUUUACCCUGCGUAACCAAAUAAUUUUCUUUAUAGGAGUUACCUCCCGGAACACUGUUUUCCGUCUGCCCUCAUCUCCUCCGUAACCGUAAAAGAAUGACAAAUUUAUUUUCUAAAAUUGCUCGUUAUAUCUUUGCAUGAUUUGUCCUUUUUUGACAGAAGCGAUAUGAAAACUCCAUAUGAGAUUUAUUUU
rnacentral:lncRNA from 1 species